rnacentral:rRNA from 1 species
GCGUAGCGGCGGCGGCAGUCCUAGGGGAGGCAGCAGUGGGUAAUCCUGCACAAUCAAGCAAGCGUGAUCUAGCCAUUCCGGGUGAAUGAAGAAGUCUUUAGCAAGUAAUGAUGGCAAUAAAAAAGAUAAUGACGUACAUGAGAGAGACGUUGCC